rnacentral:rRNA from 1 species
AUUGAACGCUGGCGGCAUGCUUUACACAUGCAAGUCGAACGGCAGCACGGGUGCUUGCACCUGGUGGCGAGUGGCGGACGGGUGAGUAAUACAUCGGAACGUGUCCUGAAGUGGGGGAUAACGCAUCGAAAGAUGUGCUAAUACCGCAUAUUCUCUGAGGAGGAAAGUAGGGGAUCGAAAGACCUUAUGCUUUUGGAGCGGCCGAUGUCUGAUUAGCUAGUUGGUAAGGUAAUGGCUUACCAAGGCGACGAUCAGUAGUUGGUCUGAGAGGACGACCAGCCACACUGGGACUGAGACACGGCCCAGACUCCUACGGGAGGCAGCAGUGGGGAAUUUUGGACAAUGGGCGCAAGCCUGAUCCAGCAAUGCCGCGUGAGUGAAGAAGGCCUUCGGGUUGUUAAAGGACUCUUUCAGUCGAGAAGAAAAGGACUAGUGACAAAUAAUACAUAAGCUCAUGACGGUAUCGACAGAAG